CCUACGGGAGGCAGCAGUGGGGAAUUUUGGACAAUGGGCGAAAGCCUGAUCCAGCAAUGCCGCGUGAGUGAAGAAGGCCUUCGGGUUGUAAAGCUCUUUUGUCAGGGAAGAAACGGUGUUUUCUAAUACAGAAUGCUAAUGACGGUACCUGAAGAAUAAGCACCGGCUAACUACGUGCCAGCAGCCGCGGUAAUACGUAGGGUGCAAGCGUUAAUCGGAAUUACUGGGCGUAAAGCGUGCGCAGGCGGUUUUGUAAGUCUGACGUGAAAUCCCCGUGCUCAACCUGGGAAUUGCGUUGGAGACUGCAAGGCUAGAGUUUGGCAGAGGGGGGUAGAAUUCCACGUGUAGCAGUGAAAUGCGUAGAUAUGUGGAGGAACACCGAUGGCGAAGGCAGCCCCCUGGGUCAAGACUGGCGCUCAUGCACGAAAGCGUGGGGAGCAAACAGGAUUAGAUACCCUGGUAGUCCACGCCCUAAACGAUGUCUACUAGUUGUCGGGUCUUAAUUGACUUGGUAACGCAGCUAACGCGUGAAGUAGACCGCCUGGGGAGUACGGUCGCAAGAUUAAAACUCAAAAUGAAAUUGACGG
rnacentral:rRNA from 1 species